rnacentral:rRNA from 1 species
CCGGAGAAUGUUAUCACGGGAGACACACGGCGGGUGCUAACGUCCGUCGUGAAGAGGGAAACAACCCAGACCGCCAGCUAAGGUCCCAAAGUCAUGGUUAAGUGGGAAACGAUGUGGGAAGGCCCAGACAGCCAGGAUGUUGGCUUAGAAGCAGCCAUCAUUUAAAGAAAGCGUAAUAGCUCACUGGUCGAGUCGGCCUGCGCGGAAGAUGUAACGGGGCUAAACCAUGCACCGAAGCUGCGGCAGCGACGCUUAUGCGUUGUUGGGUAGGGGAGCGUUCUGUAAGCCUGCGAAGGUGUGCUGUGAGGCAUGCUGGAGGUAUCAGAAGUGCGAAUGCUGACAUAAGUAACGAUAAAGCGGGUGAAAAGCCCGCUCGCCGGAAGACCAAGGGUUCCUGUCCAACGUUAAUCGGGGCAGGGUGAGUCGACCCCUAAGGCGAGGCCGAAAGGCGUAGUCGAUGGGAAACAGGUUAAUAUUCCUGUACUUGGUGUUACUGCGAAGGGGGGACGGAGAAGGCUAUGUUGGCCGGGCGACGGUUGUCCCGGUUUAAGCGUGUAGGCUGGUUUUCCAGGCAAAUCCGGAAAAUCAAGGCUGAGGCGUGAUGACGAGGCACUACGGUGCUGAAGCAACAAAUGCCCUGCUUCCAGGAAAAGCCUCUAAGCAUCAGGUAACAUCAAAUCGUACCCCAAACCGACACAGGUGGUCAGGUAGAGAAUACCAAGGCGCUUGAGAGAACUCGGGUGAAGGAACUAGGCAAAAUGGUGCCGUAACUUCGGGAGAAGGCACGCUGAUAUGUAGGUGAAGUCCCUUGCGGAUGGAGCUGAAAUCAGUCGAAGAUACCAGCUGGCUGCAACUGUUUAUUAAAAACACAGCACUGUGCAAACACGAAAGUGGACGUAUACGGUGUGACGCCUGCCCGGUGCCGGAAGGUUAAUUGAUGGGGUCAGCGCAAGCGAAGCUCUUGAUCGAAGCCCCGGUAAACGGCGGCCGUAACUAUAACGGUCCUAAGGUAGCGAAAUUCCUUGUCGGGUAAGUUCCGACCUGCACGAAUGGCGUAAUGAUGGCCAGGCUGUCUCCACCCGAGACUCAGUGAAAUUGAACUCGCUGUGAAGAUGCAGUGUACCCGCGGCAAGACGGAAAGACCCCGUGAACCUUUACUAUAGCUUGACACUGAACAUUGAGCCUUGAUGUGUAGGAUAGGUGGGAGGCUUUGAAGUGUGGACGCCAGUCUGCAUGGAGCCGGCCUUGAAAUACCACCCUUUAAUGUUUGAUGUUCUAACGUGGACCCGUGAUCCGGGUUGCGGACAGUGUCUGGUGGGUAGUUUGACUGGGGCGGUCUCCUCCUAAAGAGUAACGGAGGAGCACGAAGGUUGGCUAAUCCUGGUCGGACAUCAGGAGGUUAGUGCAAUGGCAUAAGCCAGCUUGACUGCGAGCGUGACGGCGCGAGCAGGUGCGAAAGCAGGUCAUAGUGAUCCGGUGGUUCUGAAUGGAAGGGCCAUCGCUCAACGGAUAAAAGGUACUCCGGGGAUAACAGGCUGAUACCGCCCAAGAGUUCAUAUCGACGGCGGUGUUUGGCACCUCGAUGUCGGCUCAUCACAUCCUGGGGCUGAAGUAGGUCCCAAGGGUAUGGCUGUUCGCCAUUUAAAGUGGUACGCGAGCUGGGUUUAGAACGUCGUGAGACAGUUCGGUCCCUAUCUGCCGUGGGCGCUGGAGAACUGAGGGGGGCUGCUCCUAGUACGAGAGGACCGGAGUGGACGCAUCACUGGUGUUCGGGUUGUCAUGCCAAUGGCACUGCCCGGUAGCUAAAUGCGGAAGAGAUAAGUGCUGAAAGCAUCUAAGCACGAAACUUGCCCCGAGAUGAGUUCUCCCUGACCCUUUAAGGGUCCUGAAGGAACGUUGAAGACGACGACGUUGAUAGGCCGGGUGUGUAAGCGCAGCGAUGCGUUGAGCUAACCGGUACUAAUGAACCGUGAGGCUUAACCUU